UGUGUUCUUAUCAUGAAACUCGGCUAUGAUUAUCGUCUCCCCAUCGAUACACAAUUUUAGGGCUGUUCUUCUCCUAUCUCUGAAAUCAACGAUGGACAUGAAGCGUCUCUGUUGUUUGGAUCUUCAAACCAGGCUUCUGUUCUAAUCAAUUGAAACGCUUAUCCCUCUGCAGGGUUUUGUCUCUACUCCUAUAAAAGGUGUGCCUUCUUCCCAACGAAUACAUCUCAAUUGUUAGUGAUGUUCUGUUUGGGCUUGAACUGAAACUCAUCAGGAUCUACAUCUGUCGGCGUAAUCCUUUCUUCCCAAAAACUCGCCGAAACAGUUUCAAGGCCAUCUCCGACAACGUCAUAAGCCUUAUAAUACCACCACCAGAGAAUCUCAUCCGCUGACUGUUACCGAUUGUGUUGUGACAUAUCCCGGUGGAUCAUAGUAGUCAUGUCUUAUCCUUUCGUUUCCCGUACCAGCGCAAGUCCGUUGAGUUCGAACGUCGUCUUUAACGCCAUCACUAACAACAGUUUCCCACUCCUCUAAUUCAAUGGCUCUCUCAUUGCUUCGAUAGAGCAAAACUAAUUUCUGUUAAAAUGAGGACAUGGCCGUUUCUUCUGCUGCGACCCUUGCGGAUGCUCAGUGUAUGGAGGCUGCUGAAGUGAUAAGAGCUUAUAGAGAGAAUUUGGCAUCUGUUGUCAACGCCCCCAUCAAUGUUCGUUCUACCAGAGAUAUCUAACACUCACUGCCGGUGUAGCCACAAGUUUUGUAGCUUCAAAAAUCUUUAUUUUUGGCAUCUUAGGUUUUUAAAAAGAUUGAUUUUAAUGAAGAAACUCAAUUCUUUUGAUUUUA